CCUACGGGAGGCAGCAGUGAGGAAUAUUGGUCAAUGGGCUUACGCCUGAACCAGCCAAGUCGCGUGAGGGAAGACUGCCCUAUGGGUUGUAAACCUCUUUUGUCAGGGAGCAAUUGGCGCUACGUGUAGCGUUAUCGAGAGUACCUGAAGAAAAAGCAUCGGCUAACUCCGUGCCAGCAGCCGCGGUAAUCCGGAGGAUGCGAGCGUUAUCCGGAUUUAUUGGGUUUACAGGGUGCGUAGGCGGAAUGCCAAGUCAGCGGUAAAAUCGCGGGGCUCAACCUCGCUCCGCCGUUGAAACUGGCGGGCUGGAGUGGGCGAGAAGUAGGCGGAAUGCGUGGUGUAGCGGUGAAAUGCAUAGAUAUCACGAAGAACUCCGAUUGCGAAGGCAGCAUACCGGAGCCCAACUGACGCUGAAGCACGAAAGCGUGGGGAUCGAACAGGAUUAGAUACCCUGGUAGUC
rnacentral:rRNA from 1 species